CUCCCACCAAUACCCGGGGAGGAGGCCAUGUGCCAGCCCAGCGAGAUGGGCCAGCGUGUGCUCUGAACCUCGGAACCUGGGCUGCCCUGGGGUCAUCAGGCUGGGCACCCUGACCGCCAGCGGGACUCCACCUCCUCGGUCGAAGCUCCUGGAAAUCUCCAGCGCCUCUGGACCAGGCGGAGGAAAGGAGCCAGCGGCCCAGAGCAGUUAACGGGCCCCUUGCGGGGCUGGGAAGGCGCCGAGACGGUUCGGCUUUCUUUAAAUGCGCGAGGGCCUCGGAGGAAGUGAACUACAUUCUGCUCUGAUCGGCAGCUCUUUCCACUCCAUUUUUUUCACUCUUCCCUGUAAUUAUCCCAUCGGUGGCCACAGAUACCCCCUCACCGUCUUGGCUGGGCCCCGGUCACUGAACUCUGUGACAGCCCCAGAAUCCACGCAGAUUGCCGGAGUCCGCGCUUUGCAGCCUGAUGCUCGGGGAAAUAAAGG
rnacentral:lncRNA from 9 species